GUCUACGGGCCUCCCACCCUGAACGCACCCGAUCUCGCCUGAUCUCGGAAGCCAAGCAGGGUCAGGCCUGAUUAUUACUUGCAUGGGAGAAAUGUGCUACCUAAAACU
rnacentral:rRNA from 1 species